rnacentral:rRNA from 1 species
CCUACGGGUGGCAGCAGUGGGGAAUAUUGGGCAAUGGGCGCAAGCCUGACCCAGCAAAGCCGCGUGAAGGAAGAAGGCUUUCGGGUUGUAAACUUCUUUUCUCAGAGACGAAGAACGUGACGGUACCUGAGUAAUACGCCUCGGCUAUCUACGUGCAAGCAGCCGCGCCAAUACGUAGGCGGCGAGCGUGCUCCGGAUUUACUGGGUGUAAAGGUGGCGCAGACGGCUAUGCAAGCCAGGAGUGAAAGCCCGGGGCUCAACCCAGGUACUGCUAUUGGAACUGGCUGGCGGGAGUGCAGGAGAGGCAGGCGGAAUUCCUGGUGUAGCGGUGAAAUGCUGAGAUAUCACGAAGAACUCCGAUUGCGAAGGCAGCUUACUAAACUGCCACUGACAUUGAUGCUCGAAAGUGUGGGUAUCAAACAGGAUUAGAUACCCGUGUAGUC